rnacentral:ncRNA from 1 species
AAAGAUUUGGUCCUAGUCUUAUUAUCAAUUACCUCUUAACUUACACAUUGCAAGUCUCAGCACACCCGUGAGGACACCCCAUCCCCCAAGAUGGAAGCAGAUAUCAGGCACAGACUCCUAGCCUAAAACAUCAAGCACCACCACACCCCCAAGGGCAUGCAGCAGUGAUUAACCUUGUUAAAUAAGCGCCAGCUUGAGCCAGUUAGAGAAUUUAGGGUUGGCCAAUUUGGUGCCAGCCGCCGCGGCUACACCAAAGACCCAAACUGAUAAUUACCGGCGUCAAGCGUGUUUAAAGAUCACAAAUAAUUAGAGUUAAAUUAAGAUCUUGUUGUCUUAAGCACAUCUGCAAGAAAGCCAUAAACGAAAGUUACUCUAAUCUAUGUUUGAAUACACGACAGCUAAGACACAAACUGGGAUUAGAUACCCCACUAUGCUUAGCCGUAAAUCCUAUUCACACCCCCCCCGCCAGGGAAUUACGAGCCAUGCUUAAAACCCAAAGGACUUGACGGUGCCCCAUCCAACUAGAGGAGCCUGUUCUAUAAUUGAUAAUCCCCGCUUUACCUUACCACUACUAGUCCAUCAGCCUGUAUACCUCCGUCGCAAGCUUACCAUGUGAACGUCAGACAGUAAGCUCAAUGAACCCCCCCCCUAAAUACGUCAGGUCAAGGUGCAGCCCACGUAGUGGAAAGUGAUGGGCUACAAUUUCUAUGCUAGAACACACGGAAGGCAGCACGAAACUGCUGCCAGAAGGCGGAUUUAGUAGUAAGAAGAAAGUAUAGUGUUCUUUUUAACCCGGACCUGGGUCGGGUACAAACCGCCCGUCACCCUUUUCAACGGCCCCCCCCCAUCUCCCUAAACAAUUUUAGCCCCUAAGAAGAGGCAAGUCGUAACAUGGUAAGCAUACUGGAAGGUGUGCUUGGAAUAA